rnacentral:rRNA from 1 species
AGGACGAACGCUUGCGACGUGCCUAAGAAAUGCAAGUCGAACGGGGUAGCAAUACCUAGUGGCGAACGGUCGCGUAACACGUGGGCAACCUGCCUUGAAGCGGGGGACAACAAUCCGAAAGGGUUGCUAAUACCGCAUGUGAACUUUUGUGGCAUCACGAAAUGUUCAAAGCUUUAUGCACUUCAAGAUGGGCCCGCGGCCUAUCAGCUAGUUGGUGGGGUAACGCCUACCAAGGCUUCGACGGGUAGCUGGUCUGAGAGGACGAUCAGCCGGAUUGGGACUGAGAUACGGCCCAGACUCCUACGGGGGGGCAGCAAUUAGGAAUCUUGCGCAAUGGGGGGCAACCCUGACGCAGCGACGUCGCGUGGAGGAUGAAAUCUUUCGGGAUGUAAACUCCUUUUACCAGGGAAGAACAAAUGACGGUACCUGGUGAAUAAGCCCCGGCUAACUACGUGCCAGCAGCCGC